UGAGGUCAAGCAAGGUUACGCUCUGC
rnacentral:piRNA from 1 species